UUUGAGAGACACUGUUCAUUCUUGGU
rnacentral:piRNA from 1 species